AAUCGCUUGAACCCGGGAGGCGGAGGUUGCGGUGAGCCGAGAUCAGGCCAUUGCACUCCAGCCUGGGCCACAAGAACAAAACUCCAUCUCAAAAAACAAAACAAAACAAAACAAAAGGGAUGGGGGACAUUUGAACACAGACACGGGAGAAGACAACCAUGUGAAGAUGGAGGCAGAGAUGGGGGUGGUGCUUCUACAAGCCAAGGAACCCCAAGGGCAAAUCACGAGAAGCCAUGGAGAGGCCUGGAGCAGAUCCUUCUCUCACAGCCCCAGCAGGAACCAGCACGGCUGACACCUCCAUCUGGGCCUUCCAGCUGGCGGGGCUGCAGGACAACACAUUUCUCUUGUGAAGCCGUCCGGCUCCGGGAAAUAACACGCUGGUCCUUACUGGGUUCCAUCUCUCUCGCCCGAGGUGUGGAGGCCCCAGCCACCCUCUGGGUGCCUCUGUGCACUGGCUUCUCCGGUGCUGUUCACUUCCCUUUCCAAAGCUGUUUCCCAUGUUAAGACAGGAGCUUCCGUCCCCUGCAGGCAGGCCCGGGAGGAUCCAGGUGUCUAGCCUUGAAAAUGUUUUCAACUGAUUCCUUAAUUUCCCCAUGUGGGUACCAUAGAGGAAAGUCCCUAGUGAGUCCCUAGCGAGUUAUUAAAAUGGCUUCUGCCGAUCUUCCUGGGAGGGGUGCUGGUGGCCCUGCCAUACUCUCCUCCUCCAGCCGGGUGCCCAGCCACUGACCUGCUCCUGGCUGGACCAGGCCCUGGUACCUGGUGUGACUCAAGGGAUUUAUAUCUUCCUCACCCUUCCUGAAAUUGCCAUUAUUGUGUUUAUUCCUUAAGAACGUUCUAGAAAGAAAAGCAUUUACCCUCACAGGAUUUCCUGUCACCUCCAAAUGAAACAAUUUAAAAACCAGACAAGUAAAUGUUACUCUUAUUUCUAAUCAUGAAAGAGAUUGAUUUUUAAAAAAAUCCUGACAGUAGAGAGGCGUGCCUGAGACUACAUCCCCCUAUUCAUAUACUCUUGUGAUUAGAAACAUACCGGAGAUUUGCUUCUGGGGGCUUUAAGUGUGGAAACCAACAGUUGUCUUUCCAGCUGCUCCCUGUCUGCUCUGGAGGGGAGCUCUUGGUGAGCCCCUUAAGCAGGUAGAAGAGACUGCUCUGAAAAUAUUAAAUACUUCUGGCUGAUGCUCCGUGUUCUGCUGAGCAGUGUCACAGACGGAUCUCUGUCUGUCUCUCUCUCUCUCUCCAUCAUUACUGUAUCCCUCGAACGUGGGAAGUAGGACAGUGCCCAGCCCAUAUUAAGUCCUUAAUGCCUAUGUCCUGAAUGGCAUGAAAUUGAAAUGGAAGACUGAGCUUCAAAUCAGUUGAUAGCUCCCUUCAGAAAGGGAGAAAGCACCAUGGACCAGGGAUCUUGAAUAUGAAGAAUGUGAAGAUUCUAGAAUCUUACUAAUCAUCCUGUGUCUUGCUUUUGUCUUGUUAAAAAAGUGAUUAGCAAAAUCACUUUAAGUUAGCAAAAGCGAUUACCCAUUUAAAAAAAAAAGGAAAAGUCCGCAGCUCCACUCAGAAACAAGGGCAGGCCUGUCUGCGGGAGACUGACUGUGGAGUGGGGAGGGAUAGGUGGGCGAGGGUGUUGGAGGAAGGAAAAGGAAACAGGCUACCCGCUGGUCCCUGCCCCCCAAAGAAAGAGCAAGCCGCUGGAGGAGCUGCUGGGGGAGGAUGACCCGCAGGUGGUUUGCUGACAUCUUGACCUUUAAUUUAGUAACCAUACAGUCCUUGAAAAUGUUUUCAACCGAUUCCUUAACUUCCUCAUGUGGCUACCAUAGAGGAAAGUCCCUAGUGAGUCACUGCUGUUAUUAAAAUGGCUUCUGCCAAUCUUCCUGGGAGCGGUGCUGGUGCCCUCCCACCCCCCACACAUGCUCUCCUCCACCAGCCGAGCGCCCAGCCUCGAGGCAGGGCCCACUGACCCGCUCCCGGCUGGACCAGGCCCUGGUACCUUGUGUGACUCAAGGGAUUUACAUCUUCCUCACCCUUCCUGAAAUUGCCAUUAUUGUAUUUAUUCCUUAAGACCAUUCUAAAAACAAAAGCAUUUACCCUGAUAGGAAUCUUCAUGACCUAGGAUAAAAUAAUCCACCCGUCUCAUUAUAAGAGGAAGUGGAUGUCACCUUAAAACCACUUACACCUCACAGCAUAAGACAGUGACUGCAGAACAGUCCCAGCCAUGCAGAAGCACCAGGGCGUGGGGAGCCAGAGAUCAAAUCACUGGUGUCACAGUGUGGGCUCUGCCUAGCAGAAAAACGUUUGAUUGUCUCCCUUUUUCCUGUAGCGCCUAAAACCUUCCGCCUCCCUCUUGGCUCUUCCAAACUUGAGCGCUGACUCUAUAAGCUUGGCUAACCAAGUGUUUUAGGGAGUGGCCGGAAGCAGGGAUGGAAACAAGAAAACAGCACAGCUCCGGCCCCGGUGCAGAGCCCGUGGGCGACUACUGGGACAGUUCAGUUUCUCGUGGUGACAGCCUCCUUUUUCUUUUCCCUGUUUCUGAAGGCUGGGUUGAAAAGAAUAUUGCAAACAACAUUGCACAGGGGGUUCUUCUGCUGGAGGAAGGGUUUCCUCCCUGCCCUGCCUUAGUUUCCUCAUUUAUUAAAGGAAGACAAGAAUUUUCCUGUCCAGGUAAAGGUCAUUGUGAGGGUCAGGUGAACUUUUGGGUGUGGAAGGAUCUCUAGACCAGGAAGAUGCUGGGUACUAAUUGUUCUCCCAAGUGCCUUUAUGAAUUUACACUGCCAACAGCAAUUCACCAAAAUCCCAGUUCCCGAUUCUUUCUGAUACUAGGUAUUGCUAUUAGAUUUUUUUUUGUUCGUUUUGCAUUUUCAUGAAGGCUAAAUUGCAGUGGUAAUGGCUGCUAGGGGCUUUGUUGUCAGAAACUGGCACCACUGAGUGCAGGCCAGCUGUUGAGAGCGUCCCCAGUGCCUGUUGGGCUCCUGUGCCCUGCUCCUUGGACCCAGUGCCCCCGGGGUACUGCUUCACCUGGCACUGUCCUCUACACAGGCUGCCGAGGCUGCAGCAUUCUGACCUCUGGCCGUGGGGAGUUCAUCCCUGUAGGAUGGCUGUUUCCUCUUCAUUCUCCAAUGUUCAGCAGCCCUCAGCCUGUGACUUUGAUCCACACUUACUGCAGGUUCGGUGUGCUGGCAAUGAUGUGGAGAACUCCACAGAGAAUAACCAGGGCCACAAACCCAGAGUUGCUUCUGUUUACUUGGAUGUGCCUUCCCACUGCUUCACUCCAGCCUGACUCCAAGGAGUAGUGGGCAAGGACAGAGGAACAAUUAGAGUUCAAACACACUCAAAAAUCUGUUCCACAUGGAUUAGACUUCAAUGUGAAAGUAAAAUGGAAAAAGAUUUAGAAGAAAACAUAGCAGAACAUCUUUAUGACCUUAGGGGGGUGGAGGAUUUCUCAACAAGACACAUAAAGCACAGCCAUAGAAAUGUCCAAACUUGCCUAUGUUAUAAGUAAUAAUAUAAUAAUGUCUUUCAAUUGUUACUAAUUAAUAACAUAACUUCUUUCAAAGCAAAAGACAAGCUACAGAACAAGGGAAAUUGUUUGCAAUUCAUUUAACACAUACAGUCAUGCCUUGCUUAACAGCAGGGAUACGUUCUAAGAAAUGCACCAUUAGGCUAUUUCCUCAUUUCAGCAUCUUGGAGUGCGUCCCCACAAACUUGGAUGGUACAGCCCUGUCACACACCAAGGCUAGAUGGUGGAGCUUGUUUCUCCUAGGCUACAAACAUGUACAGCAUGUUCCCAUACAGAAUACUGCAGGCAAUUGUGACGUAACGGCCUCCCCUCAAAUGUCGUCUCGGAGGAACGGUAUGGCCUGAACCCAAGCCCGAGUCGUCUUCUGCAGCGCCUGCUUUGCUUUCUUCCCAGCAUAUACCUCUGGAAUGAUCUGAUUUCUCACUAACUGUCCUGGCCCCCUUGAAUGGAUGGCCCAGAGAGACAAGGCCUCCUUCACAGCGGAUACUCAGAAUUUAACUAAAUGCUUUAACGAAUAAAUUUAGGUAAAACUAAA